UUAAUCGUGGCUGUAUCGUGAUUGGCCAAAAUUUCAAACUUUGACUUUCGUGAAUUCUGAUUGGACAAUUGCCAUUCCGCCAUCAAAUUUUGAAAUGGGCAAAGAAGACAGAAGCUGUUGUAGAGAUUUUCCUGAUUUUUUCAAGAAAUAUGCAGAAUCACAGCGUGUUGUAUGUAGUAAUGAAACUGCAAGCAGUGGUUUCAUAAAGAUAGACAUGCUUAAGACCUGGAUGAUAUGGCUUUAGUUGUGGAUGACCAUUUCCAUUCAGGAAAAAAUCCCAACCAAGUCCAGCUAGCAGACUGUACACCAGAUUGAAGAUAAAUCAUUAAUACAAGAUGAAAAAAAAUUAAUGGAGGACGAGGAUAAUACUAUGAAAGAGAUCAGAUGCAAGAGCAACCGUUCCCAUAGAAAUACAUGCAGCCAUGUCAACAGAAACCAGUUUUCACCUGCCAGGAACAGAUUCAAGAAACAGAUCCAGUUGUUUGCUGAUAAAUUACUGCAGGUCAUUGGUAUCAUCUAGAACCAGGACUGUUUUAAAAAUCAUACUAGUAUGUUUGGAACAAAAUCAUGCUAGUAUAUGUUAGGAA